ensembl:snoRNA small nucleolar RNA R38
ACAAGCUUGUGAUGAGAAGUAGUUAUCCCUGUCUGAACCAUUGUGUGGAGUCAUGGUAACCUGAAGCUUGU